GAUGAAGAACGCAGCGAAAUGCGAUAACUAAUGUGAAUUGCAAAAUUCAGUGAAUCAUCGAGUCUUUGAACGCACAUUGCGCCCCCUGGUAUUCCGGGGGGCAUGCCUGUCCGAGCGUCAUUGCUGCCCUCAAGCACGGCUUGUGUGUUGGGCUCCGUCCCCCCGGGGACGGGCCCGAAAGGCAGCGGCGGCACCGAGUCCGGUCCUCGAGCGUAUGGGGCUUUGUCACCCGCUCUGUAGGCCCGGCCGGCGCCAGCCGACAACCCAUCAUCCUUUUCAGGUUGACCUCGGAUCAGGUAGGGAUACCCGCUGAACUUAAGCAUAUCAAUAAGCGGAGGA
rnacentral:misc_RNA from 1 species